rnacentral:rRNA from 1 species
AUUGACGCGUGUAGGGGCGGCGUAAUAGUUGGAGAGGCACCGCUUUCUGAAAUCAUUCGACGGCGUGUGAAAACUCGUGGGAACGUGGCGACGGAGAGGGAGGGGUGAAAACCGUGGUAAACGUGGGAACGGUUGUCGAGGUGGAGAGAAAGUAGUAUGGUGAAGUAUCCAACGGUGGCAAGGAAUGUUUGGUAGAGUUUGUAGUGGAGCUGGGAGGGGCAAGCAUAAGGGACAAAGGGAUAAGAAACAUGUUGGAUGUGAUCGUACCAACACUGAAGCACC